UACGUAGGGGGCUAGCGUUGUCCGGAUUUAUUGGGCGUAAAGAGCGUGUAGGCGGCCAGGUAGGUCUGGUGUGAAAACUCGAGGCUUAACCUCGAGAUGUCAUCGGAAACCAUCUGGCUAGAGUCCGGAAGAGGAGAGUGGAAUUCCUGGUGUAGCGGUGAAAUGCGCAGAUAUCAGGAAGAACACCAAUGGCGAAAGCAGCUUGCUACAGGGAUAUUGACACUGAGGCACGAAAGCGUGGGGAUCAAACAGG
rnacentral:rRNA from 1 species